AUAAUAAGAUAAAGUGUUGAUAUCUAUUUUAAAGUAUCUAGUUCCUUUCUUCAUAGUUUUUAAUAUUUACUUAAAUAUAUUGUAAUAUUUUUAAGGUAAUGAUCACAAUACUAUAUCUAUCAGUCCUACUCCAUCUCCAAAAAUAUCAACAGGCUAUUCAAAAGUAUUAUGCUCUCCAACUGCAAAUUGGACUGUGGAUAACAUUGAUAAAAAUAUAAUUUAUGAAAACGAUAAAAAUGGCGACACUUUAAGAGUGAAAAGAGUAUUAUUUCAUGAAAAUAAUAUACCCAAGAAAUCAAAAAUAUUCCAAAACGAAUCAAAUACAUCUACACAAAAUAAUUUUAACAUUGAGUCUUUUAAGUCAGAUAAUCCAGAUUAUGAAAAAUAUAUUUUCACAA